AUGCAGAAAUAACGCGCAUUACAGUUGGCUACAUGAUUUUGUUUAUCUGAUUUAAAAAAUAUUUUUUAAAUCCCGUCAUUUGGUGGUAUUUUAAGUAGACAAUCUAUUUCAGUAUGUAAGCAGAGGCACUUUGAGGAGAACCAGCUAAAACGCGUCAGUUAAAUUCGUGCGGCAAACCUCGGUGUGGUCAGCAGCGACGGAAGAUGUAACUUUAUGUUUCAAAUUGGGGUUUAUACGGAUACAUUUCGGGUCUAGACGCGUUAUCCAUCGCAGCGCUUCAAGUUCGGAAAAUAUUACCAAGAAACAGAAGUACAUUUAUUUUGACUACUAACGUUAAUAUCGCUAUGUUCUCUCUCACUUCAAAUAUAUGUGUUUGUGUAAUCCGCCUGCGGUUGUGUAGUUUUUUUUUUAUCGUACCAGGACGAUGCGCACAACCCAUGAAGAUUUAAAAUAAUUGAGGACUUUAUAAAGAUGACCACAGAACGUGUAUGUGUUUCCAUUGGAGUGCUGCUGUUUGCCUUUUUGUCUUUCUCCAUUGUUCAAGCUCGACGUGUAAAAACAGCGAAGGUCACACCACCAACCGGCCGAGUAUGAACCCAGCGGAGGGCAGUGGAGCUGGUUUCAACGUGGGCGGUCUGAAGUCUGUCCUGCAGAACGCCGUGUCCCCAGCCUUCGGCGCCACCAUCAUCAUCAUCAUCACUGUUAUCGUGUCAGGGAGCGCCUACCUCUGUUUCCUCAAGUACAUCUGUGCAGGCUGCUGCAAACCCACACAGGUGGCCCCGGUCACACAACUAGACCCAAACAAGAGUGAGGAGCAGGUGUAGCGGAGUCUGUCAAGUUUCAAGUUUUUAUUGUCACGUGUACUAGUACAAUGAAAUUCCUUUCUUGCUUGUUCUUUUCCAACAAUGCAGUAAUCAAUAUCAGUAAUACUAUAAAAUGAAUUUUAAAAAGUUAAGUGGAACAAAAUCACAAAAUAAGAACACAAGAAAGUAAGUAAGCUAUAUACAGGGUCAGUUCCAGAGUUAGUGCCAAUACUAUUGACAAUGUGUAGGGCAGUGGCUACGCAUCAUUCAGGGCAGAGACCCAACUGUUUGGAGGCACCCCAUUUUUUUGCCUGUUUUGCAUGUUAUUUUGGCAUUAAUAAGUGUCACAUAUCAGUUUGCAAACAAUGUAAAACAUAAAUAAUCAUUGAGUUAAUAAAGCCGCAU
ensembl:lncRNA